AGUGAACGCUGGCGGUAGGCCUAACACAUGCAAGUCGAACGGCAGCACAGUAAGAGCUUGCUCUUACGGGUGGCGAGUGGCGGACGGGUGAGGAAUACAUCGGAAUCUACUUUUUCGUGGGGGAUAACGUAGGGAAACUUACGCUAAUACCGCAUACGACCUACGGGUGAAAGCAGGGGAUCUUCGGACCUUGCGCGAUUGAAUGAGCCGAUGUUGGAUUAGCUAGUUGGCGGGGUAAAGGCCCACCAAGGCGACGAUCCGUAGCUGGUCUGAGAGGAUGAUCAGCCACACAGGAAAUGAGACACGGUACAGACUCCUACGGGAGGCAGCAGUGGGGAAGAUUGGACAAUGGGCGCAAGCCUGAUCCAGCCAUACCGCGUGGGUGAAGAAGGCCUUCGGGUUGUAAAGCCCUUUUGUUGGGAAAGAAAAGCAGCAGGUUAAUACCCCGCUGUUCUGACGGUACCCAAAGAAUAAGCACCGGCUAACUUCGU
rnacentral:rRNA from 1 species